GUGAAGUAGCACAGAAUGGAGCGACGCGGACGCAUACCGGUGGCCAAGUUCCGCACCCAGGAGGCCAAGACACGCAGCAGAAGUCGCGUCCGGGAGCCUGACUACAACGAGCAAGACCCCGAGCAUGAUAUGUUCACCCUGCUGGAGGAUAACAUAGCCCUGAAGGAGGAGAACAAGGCCCUCAAGCUGGAGAUUGACACCCAUAAAACCACACAGGAGGAACAGCAGGCCCAGCACGAGAAGCUCUGCAUCCAGCUGGAGGCACUGCAGCAGCAGCAGGCCAACUUCGAGACGCAAAUCAAGGAGCUAGGCGGCAAGUUCAGCAAGGCCCUCAACGAGCGCAAUGCCCUGGACAAGCUGCACAAAAUGAAGGUCGAUCAAAUACAAAAUCUCACCAGCGAACUGGAGCACAUGCGGGAGAAGCAGCUAGAGCAGCAGCCCGGUCUGGGGAGUAGUGCAGCCCAGCAGGUCCUGGGCUCUGCGGAGCUGAAGCGAAAGUUGUUCAAGAUCCUGCAGCAGGGCAGCACCGACAGCGGUGACAGCAUCGGCAAUCAUGAUUUGGACAGCCUGGUGGAUGUGAAUGCGGAUGGUGUGUCAAUCACCAGUGGCCUUGUGGAGCGCCUGGCAGACGAGUUCCUGUCGCUCAAGAACGCCACGAAUGCCGUGGAGCUGCAGCUGUACGAGGCCAACGAGAAGAUGGCCGAACUGUUGGAGCAUCAACACUCGCUGGAGGAGGAGAACGAGACGCUGCGCUCGGAGAACAGCAACCUGACCAAGGUGGCCAAGCUGCUGACGGAGAACAUGAAGGAGAGUGUGGAGACCAGUCAGAAAAUGGAGAGUGCUCUGAUCAAGCUGAAGCAGCGCAACGAUGAGCUCACUGCCAAGACACGCGAUCUGACCGAUGGACAGCCCGGAGCGAGGACCAGUGCCAGUCCCAGUGCCUCGCCCACCACUCUCAAGGAGGAGCAGGUGGAGUUUGAGCAGAUCAAGGAUCAGGUGCAGCAGCAGGCGCGCGAACACAACGAGCGCAUUGUGGAAAUGCAAACACGCAGCGUGUUUGACAUUUUCAAGCCGCUCUCGAACAUGUUCAAGGGCGGCAACUGAAGCACAACACAGCGGCUGCAACUUCUGAAUGGCACACACAUGAGAAGUGCAUGGGAAUGUUCCGCCCUGCUGCCUUCUGCCGGGUGUGUUGUUGUUACCACCCCCACCCUCGACCCAUUUGGUGCUGGGUUACCAUCUCUGGGAAACGUCUUGACGCUUUAGUGCGGGAGUUCAAGUCGGGCGGCGUUACACUUCGGCGCCGCAACCGCCGCAGGACUGGCACCAGCGAGGCCCUCA
rnacentral:misc_RNA from 1 species